UGAGAGAAACCUCAGCAACCUUGAAAGCCU
rnacentral:piRNA from 1 species